GGAAGGGUGACAGAGUUGGCCGAAUGUACCGGUCUUGAAAACCGGCGUAGGGAAACCUACCGUGGGUUCGAAUCCCACCCCUUCCGCCA
rnacentral:tRNA from 1 species